rnacentral:rRNA from 1 species
UACGUAGGGGGCAAGCGUUGCCCGGAAUCAUUGGGCGUAAAGCGCGUGUAGGCGGUUCGGUAAGUCGGCUGUGAAAGUCCAGGGCUCAACCCUGGGAUGCCGGUCGAUACUGCCGGACUAGAGUUCGGAAGAGGCGAGUGGAAUUCCCGGUGUAGCGGUGAAAUGCGCAGAUAUCGGGAGGAACACCAAUGGCGAAGGCAGCUCGCUGGGACGUUACUGACGCUGAGGAGCGAAAGCUAGGGGAGCAAACGGG